UACGGGGGGGGCAAGCGUUGUUCGGAAUUACUGGGCGUAAAGGGUGCGUAGGCGGCUUUCUAAGUUGGAUGUGAAACUAUGGGCUCAACCCAUAGCCUGCAUCCAAAACUGGAAGGCUAGGGUUCUGGAGGGGAAAGCGGAAUUCCUGGUGUAGCGGUGAAAUGGCGUAGAUAUCAGGAGGAACACCGGUGGUGUAGACGGCUUACUGGACCACGACUGACACUGAGGCACGAAAGCGUGGGUAGC
rnacentral:rRNA from 1 species